rnacentral:lncRNA from 1 species
AGACAUUAGUCGCGACAGUUGAAAUUCUUGCCCGCCUCGGAGGGUGUUUUUAAAAGGUCACGGUAAAUCUUUUUUUAGUAGUGUUAGGCCUUGUUUUUAGUUCCCAAAAAGUACGAAAAUUUUUUCAAGAUUCCCCAUCAUAUUGAAUCUUAUGGCACAUGCAUGAAACAUUAAAUAUAGAUAAAAAAAAUUAAUUAUACCAUAAUUUACGAGAUGAAUCUUUUAAUCCUAGUUAGUUUAUGAUUGAAUAAUAUUUAUCAAAUACAAAUGAAAGUGUUACAGUAUCCGAAAACCACGAAAUUUUGCCAACUGAAUGCGUAAGACACAAUACCAUUUUAAUCACAAGAAGAAGAAGGAGGAGGAGGAGAAGGCGGCGGCAUGCUGUGGGUCCCUUUCAUAGCCGUCAAAAACAGAAUUUGACACGAGUGAUAAAUUAAUCUAGGCCUUGUUUAGUUAACCCUAAAAAUCAAAAAGUUUUCAAGAUUUCUCGUCAUAUCGAAUCUUUUGGCGUAUGCAUGAAACAUUAAAUAUAGAUAAAAAUAAAAACUAAUUACACAGUUUAGCUGUAAAUCACGAGACGAAUCUUUUGAUCCUAGUUAGUCCAUGAUUGGAUAAUAUUUAUCACAAAUAAACGAAAGUGCUACGGUACCGAAAACUUUUUACUUUUCGGAACUAAACAAGACCCUAGUUGCUAAGAUGCAGGCGUCGGUGGUUUUGUUAGGUCCGGACAAUUUUUCCUCUCUCUAUGACGUGUCUGGUGUGUUCAGGAUACAGGAUAGCAAUCAGCACAAUCCAAGAUCUGAUGAGUCCUUAUCAUACCAAGGCAUACAUAGAAGAAUAUCCAAAAUUCCCAGAUUGGUCAAAGGCUCUUUCAUUGCUUUUUCCAUCCAGAAUCCAACCAAAUCCACCUAGACGCCCACGUUUGUAUUCUCGAUUGGUGUUUAGCUUCAAAUUUCUUCAUAGUGAAUUAAAGUUGGUUACACGUGUUUGGAAACUGGUAAUAAGAAGACAGAAAUUCACUAGAAAUUAUUUAGAAAAAAAUAAAACUAAAUAAAAAUGAAAAUCAUACUUCUGCCCCUUACCUACAGGGGGUCAAAUCACAUAUUCGACAUGACACUCUGUGUGCUCACUGAUGCUCGGUAGGUGAUAUAACAAAUAGUCUAUGUUGACUUCGUCAAUCUCAAAAUCAGUAGUAUUUUAUAAGCAUUAAUAGGACAUUACCACAUAAAACAUUUGUAGAGUGAUCGAAUUUCGGUUGUAGGCUAGGACAGUUUUUCCAAUCACCCCUAACUAAACGUGUGUAGAAUCAACCAUUGCUAGAGGCAGGUAUGUAAUCACCAUAAACAUCAAUUUAAGGAGCAGCUGGUAAUGUUGCUAUAAGGACCGAUGUCCUAAGAUGGAGGUACAUUGGACUCUAAAAAUAAAGCAACAAUCUUAACCAUCAAAACCCUA